AGAGUUUGAUCAUGGCUCAGAUUGAACGCUGGCGGCAUGCUUUACACAUGCAAGUCGAGCGGCAGCGCGGGGGCAACCCUGGCGGCGAGCGGCGAACGGGUGAGUAAUGCAUCGGAACGUGUCCCGUAGUGGGGGAUAGCUCGGCGAAAGCCGGAUUAAUACCGCAUAUGCUCUACGGAGGAAAGUGGGGGACCCGCAAGGGCCUCACGCUAUGGGAGCGGCCGAUGCCCGAUUAGCUUGUUGGUGAGGUAAAGGCUUACCAAGGCGACGAUCGGUAGCUGGUCUGAGAGGAUGAUCAGCCACACUGGGACUGAGACACGGCCCAGACUCCUACGGGAGGCAGCAGUGGGGAAUUUUGGACAAUGGGGGAAACCCUGAUCCAGCCAUGCCGCGUGCGGGAAGAAGGCCUUCGGGUUGUAAACCGCUUUUGUCCGGGAAGAAAAGGUAUCCCCUAAUACGGGAUGCUCUUGACGGUACUGGAAGAAUAAGCACCGGCUAACUACGUGCCAGCAGCCGCGGUAAUACGUAGGGUGCGAGCGUUAAUCGGAAUUACUGGGCGUAAAGCGUGCGCAGGUGGUUCGUCAAGUCUGAUGUGAAAGCCCCGGGCUCAACCUGGGAAUGGCAUUGGAAACUAGCGGGCUGGAGUGUGGCAGAGGGGGGUGGAAUUCCACGUGUAGCAGUGAAAUGCGUAGAGAUGUGGAGGAACACCGAUGGCGAAGGCAGCCCCCUGGGCUAACACUGACGCUCAUGCACGAAAGCGUGGGGAGCAAACAGGAUUAGAUACCCUAGUAGUCC
rnacentral:rRNA from 1 species